rnacentral:misc_RNA from 1 species
GAUGAAGAACGCAGCGAAAUGCGAUAAGUAGUGUGAAUUGCAGAAUUCAGUGAAUCAUCGAAUCUUUGAACGCAUAUUGCGCCCUUUGGUAUUCCAAAGGGCAUGCCUGUUCGAGCGUCAUUUCAACCCUCAGGCCCCCAGUGCCUGGCGUUGGGGAUCGGCGCGGCGCCCUCCGGGGCGCUGCCGGCCCCGAAAUUCAGUGGCGGUCUCGCUGUAGCCCUCCUCCGCGUAGUAGCACAACAUCGCGGCCUGGAGCUCGGCGGUGGCCAUGCCGUAAAACACCCCACUUCUGAAAGUUGACCUCGGAUCAGGUAGGAAUACCCGCUGAACUUAAGCAUAUCAAUAAGCGGAGGA